CUUUAUUUCCCUACUGCCUGCUGUACAACCCUUCACCCUAUUUUCCCUUUUUUUCUCUUUCCUUCUCGUCAAUGUCUUCACUUUGUUCUACAUUGAGCUUUUUCAAUUAGGCGAAUCGUUAAUUCGAACAAUUAUGAUUCAAAGAAAGGGUUAUUGAAAUGGCUUGAGAUGACAAAGUUCACACCUUUGAAGAAGUUUCUAAGCACAAUAGCACUAGGGAUGGCUGGUUGAGUAUCUUAGGAAAGGAAUAUGAAGUAAUUUCAUAUGUGGAGCAUCUAGGUGCCAAUGAUAUCUUAACACAUGCUCAGGAUGAUUCAACCGAAGGAUUUUUGGGGUAUGAAUGCAGCUAUUCAUCGACUGUGUUGGUGUUGAGAGGAAUAUGCGUUUAAAUCAAGAAGUUCACUUGGAAUAAUUAUCUGCUUGUGAAUAUUUUAAUAAUAUGGCAUAAUUGAGCACAAUAUUCAGUAUUUUCCUGUUAUCAUGGUGAACCUACGAGUAUUUUGACAACAUAUAACAAAGUCUUCUUUUGUUGGUCUUUUUGAUCCGUCUAGCUAGGCAUUUUUGUUAAGUUUUUUUUUAAAUAAUAAUACUCUCAAGUAAUCUGAAUGAGCUAAGUUUCUCAUUUUCCUUGUUUUAUUUAGAAUACUUUCUAUUGAUAAUACUCUUAAAGUUUGUAAAUUUUGAUGCUUUGUUUGAUGACUUUUUAGUGUUUCUAAAUUUUGAUACUUUCUGAUGUGUUUCUGGUU